CGCGAAUUCGCCCUUAGAGUUUGAUCCUGGCUCAGGAUGAACGCUAGCUACAGGCUUAACACAUGCAAGUCGAGGGGCAGCAUGGUCUUAGCUUGCUAAGGCCGAUGGCGACCGGCGCACGGGUGAGUAACACGUAUCCAACCUGCCGUCUACUCUUGGACAGCCUUCUGAAAGGAAGAUUAAUACAAGAUGGCAUCAUGAGUCCGCAUGUUCACAUGAUUAAAGGUAUUCCGGUAGACGAUGGGGAUGCGUUCCAUUAGAUAGUAGGCGGGGUAACGGCCCACCUAGUCUUCGAUGGAUAGGGGUUCUGAGAGGAAGGUCCCCCACAUUGGAACUGAGACACGGUCCAAACUCCUACGGGAGGCAGCAGUGAGGAAUAUUGGUCAAUGGGCGAGAGCCUGAACCAGCCAAGUAGCGUGAAGGAUGACUGCCCUAUGGGUUGUAAACUUCUUUUAUAAAGGAAUAAAGUCGGGUAUGCAUACCCGUUUGCAUGUACUUUAUGAAUAAGGAUCGGCUAACUCCGUGCCAGCAGCCGCGGUAAUACGGAGGAUCCGAGCGUUAUCCGGAUUUAUUGGGUUUAAAGGGAGCGUAGAUGGAUGUUUAAGUCAGUUGUGAAAGUUUGCGGCUCAACCGUAAAAUUGCAGUUGAUACUGGAUAUCUUGAGUGCAGUUGAGGCAGGCGGAAUUCGUGGUGUAGCGGUGAAAUGCUUAGAUAUCACGAAGAACUCCGAUUGCGAAGGCAGCCUGCUAAGCUGCAACUGACAUUGAGGCUCGAAAGUGUGGGUAUCAAACAGGAUUAGAUACCCUGGUAGUCCGCACGGUAAACGAUGGAUGCCCGCUGUUGGUCUGAAUAGGUCAGCGGCCAAGCGAAAGCGUUAAGUAUUCCACCUGGGGAGUACGCCGGCAACGGUGAAACUCAAAUGAAUUGACGG
rnacentral:rRNA from 1 species